rnacentral:rRNA from 1 species
CCCUUAGACGUUCUGGGCCGCACGCGCGCUACACUGACGAAGGUAACGAGCUUUCCUUUACCGAAAGGUACGGGUAAUCUUUUGAAACUUCGUCGUGCUGGGGAUAGAUCCUUGCAAUUUUUGAUCUUAAACGAGGAAUGCCUAGUAAGCGCAAGUCAUCAACUUGCGUUGAUUACGUCCCUGCCCUUUGUACACACCGCCCGUCGCUACUACCGAUUGAAUGGUUUAGUGAGGCCUUCGGAUCCGCGACUCGUUUGUGGAGAAGUUGGACAAACUCAGUCAUUUAGAGGAAGUAAAAGUCGUAACA